UACGUAGGGGGCAAGCGUUGUCCGGAUUCAUUGGGCGUAAAGAGCGUGUAGGCGGCCAGGUAGGUCGGUUGUGAAAACUGGAGGCUCAACCUUCAGACGUCGACCGAAACCAUCUGGCUAGAGUCCGGGAGAGGAGAGUGGAAUUCCUGGUGUAGCGGUGAAAUGCGCAGAUAUCAGGAGGAACACCGGUGGCGAAGGCGGAUCUCUGGGCCUUACCUGACGCUGAGGCGCGAAAGCUAGGGGAGCGAACAGG
rnacentral:rRNA from 1 species